AGAGAAACAGAAAAAGAAACAAAAGAAGACAGAGAAAGAAAGGGUCUUUCUUCCACCCUCCAAAUUCUUUCAUUUUUCUUCUC
rnacentral:ribozyme from 1 species